CUGAUAUUUGGAGUAACCCUUGGCACUUUCACAUGGUUAAUAGAUUAUCUAUCACACCCUAAAACAUCACGUACACUCACCCCAACGCUCAUCCCUAACACCGUCUCUGACAUCACUCCCUACAAUCACUCCCAUCCCAAGCGUAGUACUGCACCUACAGACCCACCAUGCACACCAGACAAGGUUAGAAGCACCACCUUAUGUAUACCCACGAAUGCAACCACCACCAUUGCACUACCUUGGGUACAUGGGGAGACAAGAGGAAUGGGAGGGGACUGACGGCUCUUUCAUACACCAGGUAUGACUGGUACAUGACAAAAGGGAAAACCUCUUAUUGACUGAACGAGCAGCCAACACAACCUUGCAAAGCUGUGUGGUGUGUAUGGGAGCUAGGCCUCUGCUUCGCAUAGUGCCGGCAGUACUGACUGAUGAGUGCCUACUGCCUCUUAUGAAUAAAGACAACCCACCCGCCAAUUGCUCACAAUGGGACACGGUUUAUCCAGUAGUCUCCGCUAUUGCUAUGAAACCCACAUUUCCCUCUAAGGUGGCUAAGGCUAAUUUCACAUGCAUCAACAUGACAGGUGUUGGACGGUCUUUGGGACAAAUCCCUGACAAUUGGUGCACUCACACUCAUGUUAUUACUAGUUCUUUUCAACCGGUGUCCAGAGCUGAUGUAUGGUGGUGGUGUGGGGGGACUGGGCUGUUUGACAAACUCCCCUGGAUCACCACUGGAGUUUGUGGGCUUGUUAACCUUUUGCUGCCAAUCUCUGUUUACCCAAUAGGCGUCCAGGACCUGCUUUCUCGUAUUAACUCUCCAGGUCCUGACAGGCUGUUGUCCAGGCCCAAGCGCGCAGAGGGACCGAUGACAGGGGAUCCCACCUAUAUUGAUCCCAUUGGGGUUCCCAGAGGGGUACCAGAUGAGUAUAAACUCGUGGACCAAGUGGCUGCAGGCUUUGAAUCUUCUAUUUGUUGGUGGUGUACAGUUAACAAAAAUGUUGAUCGUAUUAACUACAUUCAUUUCAAUGUCCAAAAACUAGGCAAUUGGACUCAGCAAGGAUUCGAGGCCGUACAUGGACAACUGGCAGCAACAUCAUUGAUGGCUUUUCAAAAUAGAAUUGCUGUUGACAUGUUAUUGGCAGAACGUGGUGGUGUUUGUGCUAUUUUUGGAGAACAGUGUUGCACUUUUAUUCCCAAUAACACAGCGGCUGAUGGCAGUUAGACUGUGGCCCUGAAGGGUCUUCGUACUCUUAAUGGUAAGAUGAAACAACACUCUGGUGUUGAUACCUCUAUGUGGGACUCCUGGAUGGAUGCAUUUGGUAAAGAUAAGACCCUGAUUUCCUCUGUCCUAGUGUCUGCUGCUGUUUUUGUGGCUAUCCUAACCCUGUGUGGUUGUUGCUGUAUUCCGUGCGCUCGCAAUUUAGCCACCAGAGUGAUUACCACUGCCAUUACCCCAUUGCCUAGUGAUCAGGCCCAGAUGUACCCCCUGUUCGCGGUUGAUGACCCUGAUGAGGUGUUUCCUCCUUUUCGGGAACCUCUUCCUCCUGACUACUCCCCUUGGCACCCCCAGGUGUAGCACUUUCAGUGCCCUCUUUUUGCCCUUGGUUGUUUGCCUAGCUUUCUUGCAUAUUGGAAUGUUCGUCUCAUAGUCUUCACGUAAGACGUGAAGAGGGGGACUCAAAAUUGGGUUUGUACCAAAUUAUUUGUAUGCUUGUCUUUCUUCUCAUGUUCCUCUUUUAGUUUUCACGUCUUAAAAGACGUGAAGAGAGGGGGACUCAAAAUUUGGUUUGUACCAAAUUCUUGGUUUGCUUCUUUUUAUUGUAUUGUUCACGUCUAGUAGACGUGAAGAGGGGGAUUUGUAGUAUAUCCCUAAUAUAUUAAUCACUCAUAGCCUAGCAGAGUUGGUCUGCAACCCUAUAACACACCCCACACCCUAUUCAACUGACAUCCCUUGACAUACAAACCCCUUCUUGCGCUACUGUCAGUUCCAGUUCCCCUUAUCUCAACUCCUGGACACACACAGACACACAGACAUUUCAACGCACACACGCCCCACACCCCAUUCAACUGGGCAGUAGCCGGGAUCGGACGACUUCAAGGAGCACCAAUGAGGCACCGGCACAGGGUCGGACAGGACCUGCCUCCAACCUUCACCAACCAGUCAGAAGACAGAACUACAAGAAUCAACCUACAUCAUUCUAUGUACAAAAUCCAUUGCACACUCUGUUUAGGAACCCUUUUCAGCUAUCUCCCUCUGAGCUAAAUUAAUUGGUCCGUGCACGCUUAGCUAGAUAUCUUUGACUUUAAUAAACUGCCUUUUGUUACAACUUGACUCCACUCUGUCCAGCGUCCGUGAUUUGGUCUCCCUUUCUGAUAGUUAUUCAUCAACAAUUUCUGGGCUGGACCUACUAGAAAAUAUUUUCAAUCAUCAAAGUGAUUUGUGCAUUUGUGAAAAAAGGGCACAUAUUUCUACCAGGAAGAAGAUGGAUCAGCAUCCCGCUUCAUUCUGCACCUGCACUUCACAAGAGGCUUUUGAAACGUUGCUGUGGAGUUCAAAAGACUGGUGUUUGUGGACCUCAAGAAGUCGUUCUAUGAAAGCUUCCGCCCCUCUGUCCUGAGCUUCCGCCCCUCUGUCCAGAGCUGCCCC